UUUAAAUAGUGGAAAAUUUUAAGGAAAUACUGCUGCAAAGGUGCGGCAAAAACAAAAAAAAAAUACAACAGCCCAGAAGUGAUGCACAAUGGGACGGCACACCACCACAAACAGCGACAAGAAAAGCUGAUUUGGGGUGGCUCAAUGAGAGAUUUUUUUACAGCAAAGGGACAAUUUUGGAAAUCAAGUUAGCAGCAAUGAGGGGCGGCUUUGGUGAUCAAAGUAGUAGAAUUGAAGGUUGGAAAAAUGGCAGCAAAACACCAAAAAAUAUUAUAUCAAAGGGAUGACUUAACUAUGGUGGAAAUACACUUGUUUGGAUAGCACAAGGAAGAAAAGUGAAGAUGAAAAAUGAAAGACUUAGAGGGAAAAGGAGGGUUGGA
rnacentral:lncRNA from 1 species